UUAUAAUUAAAAUUAAUUAAUAAGAAAUUAAAUGAAAUCAUUAAAUUUAAAAAAUUUGGCGGUAUUUUAAAUAAUUAGAGGAAUUUGUUGAGUAAAUGAUGGUCCACGAAUGGAGUAUCCUAAUAAAUUUUUAUAUAUUGUUGUAUAAAAAUUAUUUUAUAAGAAUAAUAAUUAAAAAAUUUGAUUUAAUUUGAAUUCAAAUCAAAAUGUAGAAUUAUUAGGUUUAAAUGAAUUACAGUUUAAUUUAAUAUUGGAAUUAUUUUUUUAAUUAAAAUAAUGAAAUAGGAUUUAAGAGUAAAUUUGAAAAAAUUUUUAAAUUGAAGGAUAAAUUAAAAUAUG
rnacentral:rRNA from 1 species